rnacentral:rRNA from 1 species
AAGAAAGAACUAACAAGGAUUCCCCUAGUAACGGCGAGUGAAGCGGGAAAAGCUCAAAUUUGAAAUCUGGUAGCCUCAGGCUGCCCGAGUUGUAAUCUAUAGAAACGUUUUCCGCGCUGGCCCAUGUACAAGUCUCCUGGAAUGGAGCGUCAUAGAGGGUGAGAAUCCCGUCCUUGACAUGGACUACCAGUGCUUUGUGAUACGUUUUCAAAGAGUCGAGUUGUUUGGGAAUGCAGCUCAAAAUGGGUGGUAAAUUCCAUCUAAAGCUAAAUAUUGGCGAGAGACCGAUAGCGAACAAGUACCGUGAGGGAAAGAUGAAAAGCACUUUGGAAAGAGAGUUAAACAGUAUGUGAAAUUGUUGAAAGGGAAACGAUUGAAGUCAGUCAUGUCUAUUGGACUCAGCCGGUUCUGCCGGUGUACUUCCUUUAGAUGGGGUCAACAUCAGUUUUGAUCGCUGGAAAAGGGCAGGAGGAAUGUAGCACUCUCGGGUGAACUUAUAGCCUCCUGUCGUAUACAGUGGUUGGGACUGAGGAACGCAGCAUGCCUUUAUGGCCGGGGUUCGCCCACGUACAUGCUUAGGAUGUUGACAUAAUGGCUUU